rnacentral:tRNA from 1 species
GUUCCUGUAGCGCAAUGGAUAGCACGUUGGACUUCUAAUCUAAAGGUCGUGGGUUCGAAUCCCACCUGAAAUG